rnacentral:rRNA from 1 species
GACGAACGCUGGCGGCGUGCUUAACACAUGCAAGUCGAACGGAAAGGCCUCUUUCGGGGGGUACUCGAGUGGCGAACGGGUGAGUAACACGUGAGUAACCUGCCCUUGACUUUGGGAUAACUUCAGGAAACUGGGGCUAUACCGGAUAGGAGCUCCUGCUGCAUGGUGGGGGUUGGAAAGUUUCGGCGGUUGGGGAUGGACUCGCGGCUUAUCAGCUUGUUGGUGGGGUAGUGGCUUACCAAGGCUUUGACGGGUAGCCGGCCUGAGAGGGUGACCGGCCACAUUGGGACUGAGAUACGGCCCAGACUCCUACGGGAGGCAGCAGUGGGGAAUAUUGCACAAUGGGUGGAAGCCUGAUGCAGCAACGCCGUGUGCGGGAUGACGGCCUUCGGGUUGUAAACCGCUUUCGCUCAUGACGAAGCUUUGUGUGACGGUAGUGGGUAAAGAAGCACCGGCUAACUACGU